GCCUUCGUGGUGUAGUGGUCAGCACGCUCGACGCGUAGUCCAGAGGUCCGUGGUUCGAGUCUCGGCGAAGGCA
rfam:Stegodyphus mimosarum contig118025, whole genome shotgun sequence.